rnacentral:rRNA from 1 species
CUUUUUUAUAAUUUAGUAAAUUUAAUUUUCACGAAGUCUAUUGAGCUAAAAUAUUAGGUGUGUUAGAAUAUAAAUUGAUUGUAGCAUUAAUCAACGACAAUGUUAUUUUAGGGGUGAUAGGCUUAACAAAAUAGACGAUAUCUUGAUAGCUAGGAGAAAUAUUUAGUAUAGUCUCAAAUUAAAAUUGUUAAGGAUUUUAGUAUACAAUAAUUAUUUCUAAAAUUAUGUUGAAUAUAUAAUAAUUUUAACAUUUUUGAGGUAGCAUUCUGUAAUUAAAUUUUUGUGAUACACUUGCUUUGGUUGUUUAAUAAGAUAUUACAUAAAUUAUGAAAAUAUUAGUAUUUUUAAAUAAUUAUGUUAGGAACUCGGCAAAAAUUUUUUUCGACUGUUUACCAAAAACAUGUCCUAUGAAUUUACUUAGGAUUUUCCCUGCUCAAUGAAUUUUAAAUAGCCGCAGUACAUUGACUGUGCAAAGGUAGCAUAAUCAAUUGGCUUAUAAUUGAAGUCUAGAAUGAAUGGGUCACCGGAUAAGAACUGUCUUAUUUAAUUAACUAAAACUUACUUAGUAAGUGAAAAUUCUUAUAAUAUAGUUGAAAGACGAGAAGACCCUAGAAAUUUUUUAAAUUAUUUUAAUGAACUAUUUUGUUGGGGCGACAAGGUAACAAAUAACUUACCUUAUUUACAAGCUACUAGUUAGUUGAGUGAAUAAAUUACUCUAGGGAUAACAGCAUUAUUUAUUAUUAAGUUUGUGACCUCGAUGUUGGACUAGGGAAUAAUUUACGUAGAAGGUAAUUUUGUGAGCUCUGUUCGAGCUGUUUCCCCUACAUGAUCUGAGUUCAGACCGG